rnacentral:pre_miRNA from 1 species
AGUGAAAUUGCUGGGUCAUAUGGUAACUCUGUUUAACUUUUUGAGGAACUGUCAAACUGUUUCCCAAAGUGGCUGCAGCAUUUUCACAUACCCACUAGCAAU